GUUUGGAGCACCGGUGCUCCAGUCUCCAGUAUAUUAUACUGGAGCCAGUAGGUUGAUCCUGAAGGCUGGGCUUUGGGUGGCUAAUGUCUAGCCUGCCCUAUCCAAGCAUGGAGUUAAGUCAUGUGGCCCAAACGAAAGUAUGGGCUUCUUAGCUCCUAGAGUGGGGUGGACCGCGUGAGGCUGGUUUCACAGAGCAACGAACAGCUCGCGCUUCGUGCAGUGGAAGGAUAACGAGCUGGUGCUAUCCAAGUCCAAUAAAAAUCUAAUGGGCUUCUCCAAUCAAACCACCACUUUU
rfam:Nicotiana sylvestris Nsyl_contig86839, whole genome shotgun sequence.